rnacentral:rRNA from 1 species
AAUGAACGUUGGCGGCGUGGAUUAGGCAUGCAAGUCGAGCGAGAAUUUGCGAUUGGAAGCUUCGGCCGAAGAAAGUGAAGGAAAGCGGCAAACGGCGUAGUAAGGCGUAGGUACGUACCCUCGGGUCGGGAAUAGCCAUGGGAAACUGUGGGUAAUGCCCGAUAAUCUCUGCGGAGCAAAGGUGUGAUUCCGCCGGAGGAGCGGCUUACGUGAUAUUAGCUAGUUGGUGGGGUAAUGGCCUACCAAGGCAACGAUGUCUAGGGGGUGUGAGAGCAUGGCCCCCCACGACCGGAACUGAGAUACUGUCCGGACACCUACGGGUGGCUGCAGUCGAGAAUCUUCCGCAAUGGGCGAAAGCCUGACGGAGCGACGCCGCGUGGUGGAUGAAGGCCCUUGGGUUGUAAACACCUGUCAGAGGGGAUGAAAUCAUGGUUGGCAAUCCUUCCAUGUUGACAGAGCCUCAGAGGAAGCACGGGCUAAGUACGUGCCAGCAGCCGACGG